CUCCGCUGACGAAUGCUUGUUUGAGCCAUCGUGUCUGGGCCACUGACACCCCGUGAUGGAACUGAGGAUCUGAGGAG
rnacentral:snoRNA from 13 species